rnacentral:rRNA from 1 species
GAUGAACGCUAGCGGCAGGCCUAACACAUGCAAGUCGAGGGGUAACAGGAGAGCUUGCUCUCGCUGACGACCGGCGCACGGGUGCGUAACGCGUAUGCAACCUACCUCUUACAGGAGGAUAGCCCUAAGAAAUUGGGAUUAAUACUCCAUAAUAUGCAUUAACCGGAUGGUUUAUGUAUUAAAGUUCCGGCGGUAAGAGAUGGGCAUGCGUGACAUUAGCUAGUUGGUAGGGUAACGGCUUACCAAGGCGACGAUGUCUAGGGGUUCUAAAAGGAUGAUCCCCCACACUGGUACUGAGACACGGACCAGACUCCUACGGGAGGCAGCAGUGAGGAAUAUUGGGCAAUGGAGGCAACUCUGACCCAGCCAUGCCGCGUGCAGGAAGACGGUUCUAUGAAUUGUAAACUGCUUUUAUAUAGGAAUAAUGUGCUCUACGUGUAGGGUUUUGAAUGUACUAUAUGAAUAAGCACCGGCUAACUCCGUGCCAGCAGCCGCGGUAAUACGGAGGGUGCAAGCGUUAUCCGGAUUUAUUAGGUUUAAAGGGUCCGUAGGCGGGGCUUUAAGUCAGUGGUGAAAUCCUGCAGCUUAACUGCAGAACUGCCAUUGAUACUGAAGUUCUUGAAUGUGAUUGAGGUAUGCGGAAUGAGAAGUGUAGCGGUGAAAUGCGUAGAUAUUUCUCAGAACACCGAUUGCGAAGGCAGCAUACUAAGUCAUGAUUGACGCUGAUGGACGAAAGCGUAGGUAGCGAACAGG